rnacentral:rRNA from 1 species
UACGAAGGGGGCUAGCGUUGUUCGGAAUUACUGGGCGUAAAGCGUGCGCAGGCGGUUGCUGAAGUCCGUUGUGAAAGCCCCGGGCUUAACCUGGGAAUGGCAGUGGAAACUAGGCGACUUGGAAUCUGGCAGAGGGGGGUGGAAUGCCACGUGUAGCAGUGAAAUGCGUAGAGAUGUGGCGGAACACCGAUGGCGAAGGCAGCCCCCUGGGUCGAGAUUGACGCUCAGGCACGAAAGCGUGGGGAGCAAACAGG